UACGAAGGGUGCAAACGUUGCUCGGAAUCAUUGGGCGUAAAGCGCACGUAGGCGGCUUCGCAAGUCGGAUGUGAAAUCCCUCGGCUCAACCGAGGACGUGCAUCCGAAACUGCGAGGCUUGAGUACAGAAGAGGAUCGCGGAAUUCCCGGUGUAGAGGUGAAAUUCGUAGAUAUCGGGAGGAACACCAGUGGCGAAGGCGGCGAUCUGGGCUGAUACUGACGCUGAGGUGCGAAAGCGUGGGGAGCAAACAGG
rnacentral:rRNA from 1 species